GAUGAACGCUGGCGGCGUGCUUAACACAUGCAAGUCGAACGGAAAGGCCCAAGCUUGCUUGGGUACUCGAGUGGCGAACGGGUGAGUAACACGUGGGUGAUCUGCCCUGCACUUCGGGAUAAGCCUGGGAAACUGGGUCUAAUACCGGAUAGGACCACUUCUUGGAUGUUGUGGUGGAAAGUUUUUUCGGUGUGGGAUGAGCUCGCGGCCUAUCAGCUUGUUGGUGGGGUAAUGGCCUACCAAGGCGUCGACGGGUAGCCGGCCUGAGAGGGUGUACGGCCACAUUGGGACUGAGAUACGGCCCAGACUCCUACGGGAGGCAGCAGUGGGGAAGAUUGCACAAUGGGCGCAAGCCUGAUGCAGCGACGCCGCGGGGGGGAUGACGGCCUUCGGGUUGUAAACUCCUUUCGCUAGGGACGAAGCGUUUUGUGACGGUACCUGGAGAAGAAGCACCGGCUAACUACGUG
rnacentral:rRNA from 1 species